GAAACAUUCCUCUCCAGUUCCCAGUUGUGGGCUAAGUGGUGGGAGAAAUCGGGUGAACAGAGAAGAGUGGGCCUGCAACGGACUAAGUACCGGCUCCUGCAGUCAGCACAGCCACUGCUACAUUCCAGGGAGCACAGCCCGCAGUGGAAAAAGUGACCACUGAUCACACAGCCCAGGGAAAGAGAGGAGGCCACACGGCCCGAGCUCCACCCUGGGCAGAGGGGCCGGCAGGACAAGGCGUGACUGGCCAGCAGUUAAGAGCCUGUCGGCGAUCCAGAGACACGGAGACGCGCGCAGAGGCCUGCAGUCCUUUGCUGAGUGAGGGUGGGGGAAGGUAAGCUCAGCACACACCCUUGCAGCCUAAUGUCUCUGAGUCUCCAUGUUUUAUCUAUAAAAUGGGCAUGUCAAUCAAAGCAACUUGUAUUAUACCUUCCAUGGAUAUGUAGCCAUUCAUAUAAAAUUAUAAUUUCUUGGA